UGACAUCAUAGGAGAGGAUAAUGUUCGAUGCCACAUCAUGCUCAAGGGAGACUUUGAGGUCAAGGUGGACUUGGCAAGUGACACACUACGAGAUCUGAGACAGAAGCUCUCUGAUGAAAGUGGAAUCCCAGCACAUGUCCUCCAUUACAAACGUGAACUCGGUGGAGUUGGACAGACUUUGCUAGAUUGUGGAAUCAAUGAGGAGUCAACUGUGAGCUUUUCUUUGUCCUCCUUCCCUGAUGAGCGUCCAGACACUAAGGAAUUCUACUUCAAUGAUGUCGUACCCUCAGUGCAACAAUCCCAGAAAGGACUCAGUGCUUUCUUUUCUUCACUUUAUG